ACUCCUACGGGAGGCAGCAGUGAGGAAUAUUGGACAAUGGGCGGGAGCCUGAUCCAGCCAUGCCGCGUGCAGGAAGACUGCCUAUGGGUUGUAAACUGCUUUUGUACAGGGAAGAAACACUCCCUCGUGAGGGAUGCUUGGACUGGUGACUGUAAGAAUAAGGAUCGGCUAACUCCGUGCCAGCAGCCGCGGUAAUACGGAGGAUCCAAGCGUUAUCCGGAAUCAUUGGGG
rnacentral:rRNA from 1 species